AGCAGCCGCGGUAAUUCCAGCUCCAAUAGCGUAUAUUAAAGUUGUUGCAGUUAAAAAGCUCGUAGUUGAAUUUCGGGAUCAAUACGUCGGUCGUGCUUCGGUACGUACUGGCGUAAUUGAUUUCUCCCUUCUGACGAACCAUGAUGUCAUUAACUUGGUGUCAUGGGAAAUCAGGACUGUUACUUUGAAAAAAUUAGAGUGUUUAAAGCAGGCUCACGCUUGAAUACAUUAGCAUGGAAUAAUGAAAUAGGACGUUCGAUCCUAUUUUGUUGGUUUUUAGGAUCAACGUAAUGAUUAAUAGGGAUAGUUGGGGGCAUUAGUAUUCAACUGUCAGAGGUGAAAUUCUUGGAUUUAUUGAAGACUAACUACUGCGAAAGCAUUUGCCAAGGAUGUUUUCAUUAAUCAAGAACGAAAGUUAGGGGAUCGAAGACGAUCAGAUACCGUCGUAGUCUUAACCAUAAACUAUGCCGACUAGGGAUCGGAUGAUGUUAAUUUUUAAUGACUCAUUCGGCGCCUUAAC
rnacentral:rRNA from 1 species